rnacentral:misc_RNA from 1 species
GAUGAAGAACGCAGCGAAAUGCGAUAAGUAAUGUGAAUUGCAGAAUUCAGUGAAUCAUCGAAUCUUUGAACGCACAUUGCGCCCCCUGGUAUUCCGGGGAGCAUGCCUGUUCGAGCGUCAUUUCAGCACUCAAGCCUCGCUUGGUAUUGGGCAACGCGGUCCGCCGCGUGCCUCAAAUCGACCGGCUGGGUCUCCUGUCCCCUAAGCGUUGUGGAAACUAUUCGCUAAAGGGUGUUCGGGAGGCUACGCCGUAAAACAACCCCAUUUCUAAGGUUGACCUCGGAUCAGGUAGGGAUACCCGCUGAACUUAAGCAUAUCAAUAAGCGGAGGA